AGUCGAGCGGAUGACAGGAGCUUGCUCCUGAAUUCAGCGGCGGACGGGUGAGUAAUGCCUAGGAAUCUGCCUGGUAGUGGGGGACAACGUUUCGAAAGGAACGCUAAUACCGCAUACGUCCUACGGGAGAAAGCAGGGGACCUUCGGGCCUUGCGCUAUCAGAUGAGCCUAGGUCGGAUUAGCUAGUUGGUGAGGUAAUGGCUCACCAAGGCGACGAUCCGUAACUGGUCUGAGAGGAUGAUCAGUCACACUGGAACUGAGACACGGUCCAGACUCCUACGGGAGGCAGCAGUGGGGAAUAUUGGACAAUGGGCGAAAGCCUGAUCCAGCCAUGCCGCGUGUGUGAAGAAGGUCUUCGGAUUGUAAAGCACUUUAAGUUGGGAGGAAGGGCAUUAACCUAAUACGUUAGUGUUUUGACGUUACCGACAGAAUAAGCACCGGCUAACUCUGUGCCAGCAGCCGCGGUAAUACAGAGGGUGCAAGCGUUAAUCGGAAUUACUGGGCGUAAAGCGCGCGUAGGUGGUUUGUUAAGUUGGAUGUGAAAUCCCCG
rnacentral:rRNA from 1 species